rnacentral:rRNA from 1 species
GACGAACGCUGGCGGCGUGCCUAAUACAUGCAAGUAGAACGCUGAAGGAGGAGCUUGCUUCUCUGGAUGAGUUGCGAACGGGUGAGUAACGCGUAGGUAACCUGCCUGGUAGCGGGGGAUAACUAUUGGAAACGAUAGCUAAUACCGCAUAACAGUAGAUAUCGCAUGAUAUCUACUUGAAAGGUGCAAUUGCAUCACUACCAGAUGGACCUGCGUUGUAUUAGCUAGUUGGUGAGGUAACGGCUCACCAAGGCGACGAUACAUAGCCGACCUGAGAGGGUGAUCGGCCACACUGGGACUGAGACACGGCCCAGACUCCUACAGGAGGCAGCAGUAGGGAAUCUUCGGCAAUAGACGGAAGUCUGACCGAGCAACGCCGCGUGAGUGAAGAAGGUUUUCGGAUCGUAAAGCUCGGUUGUAAGAGAAGAACGAGUGUGAGAGUGGAAAGUUCACACUGUGACGGUAUCUUACCAGAAAGGGACGGCUAACUACGUG